rnacentral:rRNA from 1 species
GACGAACGCUGGCGGCGUGCUUAACACAUGCAAGUCGAACGGAAAGGCCCCUUUGGGGGUCCUCGAGUGGCGAACGGGUGCGUAACACGUGAGUAACCUGCCCUUGACUUCGGGAUAACUUCAGGAAACUGGGGCUAAUACCGGAUAGGAAUCCUUGCUACAUGGUGGGGGUUGGAAAGCUUCGGCGGUUUUGGAUGGACUCGCGGCUUAUCAGCUUGUUGGUGGGGUAGUGGCUUACCAAGGCUUUGACGGGUAGCCGGCCUGAGAGGGCGACCGGCCACAUUGGGACUGAGAUACGGCACAGACUCCUACGGGAGGGAGAAGGGGGGAAUAUUGCACAAGGGGCGGAAGGCUGAUGCAGCAGCGCCGCGUGCGGGAUGACGGCCUUCGGGUUGUAGACCGCUUUCAGCAGGGGCGAAGCUUGUGGUGACGGUACCUGCAGAAGAAGCACCGGCUAACUACGUG